CAGGUCUUGACAUCCUCUGACAAUCCUAGAGAUAGGACGUUCCCCUUCGGGGGACAGAGUGACAGGUGGUGCAUGGUUGUCGUCAGCUCGUGUCGUGAGAUGUUGGGUUAAGUCCCGCAACGAGCGCAACCCUUAUUCUUAGUUGCCAGCAUUCAGUUGGGCACUCUAAGGAGACUGCCGGUGACAAACCGGAGGAAGGUGGGGAUGACGUCAAAUCAUCAUGCCCCUUAUGACCUGGGCUACACACGUGCUACAAUGGAUGGUACAAAGGGUUGCGAGACCGCGAGGUUUAGCCAAUCCCAUAAAACCAUUCUCAGUUCGGAUUGUAGGCUGCAACUCGCCUACAUGAAGCCGGAAUCGCUAGUAAUCGUGGAUCAGCAUGCCACGGUGAAUACGUUCCC
rnacentral:rRNA from 1 species